rnacentral:rRNA from 1 species
CUGGUUUGUACUUGGUUGGGAGACCUCAGGGAAUACCAG